AUGGGCAAUAUGAAGCCUUGGCUCGAGUUAGGCAUACCAGACUACAAGAAGUACCGGAGGAGAUUUCUCACUCGAGAAGAUCGAUUCAUGGAUGAGUGCAAUGUGCAAGAGAUGUAUCAGUGCACUAAAGGCAUGAUUAGCACCUCUAAUGGCCAUGCUAUAGCACGUCAAGGAGUACCUAGAUGUGUUGUCGAUGGAGGUGGAAGGGGGGAUUGGGAGCCGAAUCUAUCACUAAUUGAGAUGGAAACCAUGGACUGGGGUUGCGGAGAGAGUUGA
rnacentral:rRNA from 1 species